ensembl:rRNA 5S_rRNA 5S ribosomal RNA
GCUUACGGCCAUACCAGCCGAAGAACGCCCCGGUCUCGUCUGAUCUCGGAAGCUAAGAAGGCUUGGGCCUGGUUAGUACUCGGAUGGGAGACUGCCUGAGAAUACCAGGUGCUGUAAGCU